rnacentral:tRNA from 1 species
CGGGCUGUAGCGCAGUUGGUAGCGCGCUUCGUUCGGGACGAAGAGGCCGCGAGUUCAAGUCUCGCCAGCCCGA